GAGUUUGAUCAUGGCUCAGAUUGAACGCUGGCGGCAUGCCUUACACAUGCAAGUCGAACGGCAGCAUGAUCUAGCUUGCUAGAUUGAUGGCGAGUGGCGAACGGGUGAGUAAUACAUCGGAACGUGCCCUGUAGUGGGGGAUAACUAGUCGAAAGAUUAGCUAAUACCGCAUACGACCUGAGGGUGAAAGUGGGGGACCGCAAGGCCUCAUGCUAUAGGGGCGGCCGAUGUCUGAUUAGCUAGUUGGUGAGGUAAAGGCUCACCAAGGCGACGAUCAGUAGCUGGUCUGAGAGGACGAUCAGCCACACUGGGACUGAGACACGGCCCAGACUCCUACGGGAGGCAGCAGUGGGGAAUUUUGGACAAUGGGGGCAACCCUGAUCCAGCAAUGCCGCGUGUGUGAAGAAGGCCUUCGGGUUGUAAAGCACUUUUGUCCGGAAAGAAAUCGCACUUACUAAUAUUAGGUGUGGAUGACGGUACCGGAAGAAUAAGGACCGGCUAACUACGUGCCAGCAGCCGCGGUAAUACGUAGGGUCCAAGCGUUAAUCGGAAUUACUGGGCGUAAAGCGUGCGCAGGCGGUUGUGCAAGACCGAUGUGAAAUCCCCGGGCUUAACCUGGGAAUUGCAUUGGUGACUGCACGGCUAGAGUGUGUCAGAGGGGGGUAGAAUUCCACGUGUAGCAGUGAAAUGCGUAGAGAUGUGGAGGAAUACCGAUGGCGAAGGCAGCCCCCUGGGAUAACACUGACGCUCAUGCACGAAAGCGUGGGGAGCAAACAGGAUUAGAUACCCUGGUAGUCCACGCCCUAAACGAUGUCAACUAGUUGUUGGGGAUUCAUUUCCUUAGUAACGUAGCUAACGCGUGAAGUUGACCGCCUGGGGAGUACGGUCGCAAGAUUAAAACUCAAAGGAAUUGACGGGGACCCGCACAAGCGGUGGAUGAUGUGGAUUAAUUCGAUGCAACGCGAAAAACCUUACCUACCCUUGACAUGCCACUAACGAAGCAGAGAUGCAUUAGGUGCUCGAAAGAGAAAGUGGACACAGGUGCUGCAUGGCUGUCGUCAGCUCGUGUCGUGAGAUGUUGGGUUAAGUCCCGCAACGAGCGCAACCCUUGUCUCUAGUUGCUACGAAAGGGCACUCUAGAGAGACUGCCGGUGACAAACCGGAGGAAGGUGGGGAUGACGUCAAGUCCUCAUGGCCCUUAUGGGUAGGGCUUCACACGUCAUACAAUGGUGCAUACAGAGGGUUGCCAAGCCGCGAGGUGGAGCUAAUCCCAGAAAAUGCAUCGUAGUCCGGAUCGUAGUCUGCAACUCGACUACGUGAAGCUGGAAUCGCUAGUAAUCGCGGAUCAGCAUGCCGCGGUGAAUACGU
rnacentral:rRNA from 1 species